GCCCGAGUGGCGGAAUUGGUAUACGCGUUCGACUUAAGAUCGAAUGUCGCAAGGCAUGUGGGUUCGAGUCCCACCUCGGGCA
rnacentral:tRNA from 1 species